AUAAUAACUAUUGAUUCAAAGCAUUUCGAUCAGUUGCUCAUUCACUAGACGUUACCGUCCUCAAAAUAAAAUCAAAACUUCAUCAAAUAUAAAUACAGUAAUAAGACGGUGCAAAGGCAUACAUUGCAAUAAUACGAUAUUAUAUUGUUAUAAACAUAUUAAUAUUUAAUAUCGAAUCAUAAUGUCGGCGCGGAACAACAUUUUUACAUCUCUCUUUGUCGUGCUACUAAUGACGACAUCCGUCACCCCAGCCAAAAUAGGACUUUCCAUCAUAUGCUACAGCGGUUGCGGAAGUGUGGCUAUAGGUUGCUAUGUGAUUAACAGCUUUGAAUUCUUAAAAUCCUUUUUCGUUCCGGAUACUAUGACAUCAGAUUGUGGAGAGUCGUUCGAUGAAUGCAAAUACGCCUGUAUUCAUUCUAUUCAUGAUGGCACCGUAACUCUUUAAAUUACCGUUAAACUUUCAGUGACAAUACUAACUGCUACAUUAAGGCAAUUAUACGAUAAUAAGCAUAACGCAUCAAAUAUUAUUUUAAAUAUUAUUGUACACCGACUAUAAAGUUUUCUAUUUUCAUACAUGUUUUAACAAAUCACGAAAAAAAUACACAUUUUAUGAUGUUUAUAUCGAACUAUUUGUUAUUUUUAAAGGUUUACCUAACGGCUAACGGGUCAAUAAUAUCUGAAUUAAUAAGAGACAAUGUUUAUGUAUGUGUGUAUGUAUUAACAAUCUACAGCAAAGUUCAUCACAAUUAUGGUUCUGAAAUUUGAGUUGCUAUAGUUUGCAAAAAAU